rnacentral:rRNA from 1 species
ACGAACGCUGGCGGCGUGCUUAACACAUGCACGUCGCACGGAAAGGCCCUGCUUUUGUGGGGUGCUCGAGUGGCGAACGGGUGAGUAACACGUGAGUAACCUGCCCUUGACUUUGGGAUAACUUCAGGAAACUGGGGCUAAUACCGGAUAGGAGCUCCUGCUGCAUGGUGGGGGUUGGAAAGUUUCGGCGGUUGGGGAUGGACUCGCGGCUUAUCAGCUUGUUGGUGGGGUGGUGGCUUACCAAGGCUUUGACGGGUAGCCGGCCUGAGAGGGUGACCGGCCACAUUGGGACUGAGAUACGGCCCAGACUCCUACGGGAGGCAGCAGUGGGGAAUAUUGCACAAUGGGCGGAAGCCUGAUGCAGCAACGCCGCGUGCGGGAUGACGGCCUUCGGGUUGUAAACCGCUUUCGCCUGUGACGAAGCGUGAGUGACGGUAAUGGGUAAAGAAGCACCGGCUAACUACGUG